AGCCUGUCCUGCCUGCUGGAUCCCCAGAUCUAGUUGGCCAGCAGAAUAUUCAAGGCCAAGAAGAGCCCGCCAUCAUCAAGUUCAGGGCCCCCAGGCCCCAAUACCGAGCCCCAUACCAGUGGCCGAUCACAGCCGCAUCCUCAGCAGCGGGGACACAGCUGGGAAGCUUGCGAUGCACCGGGCCAGCUCCUCCCACCUGACAGGAAGGGGAGCAUUGUAAGCUGAUUCCUGGAGUCCCCUGAAGCCCAAGAGAGAGAGGACGACCCCAUCUCAGCUCCCUGACAUCCCCCAGCACCUAUGAACCCAUUGGGGAGGGACAGUAGUUAUUUGUUGUAAAUAAUAAAUGCCAUGUUUGAAUAUUA